rnacentral:rRNA from 1 species
UACGAAGGGGGCUCGCGUUGUUCGGAAUUACUGGGCGUAAAGCGCACGUAGGCGGACUACUAAGUCAGGGGUGAAAUCCCGGGGCUCAACCCCGGAACUGCCUUUGAUACUGAUAGUCUCGAGUCCGGAAGAGGUGAGUGGAAUUCCGAGUGUAGAGGUGAAAUUCGUAGAUAUUCGGAAGAACACCAGUGGCGAAGGCGGCUCACUGGACUGGUAUUGACGCUGAGGUGCGAAAGCGUGGGGAGCAAACAGG